AAUUUUGUUUUGAGAUAGGGUCUUGUUAAGUUGCCCAGGCUGAGUUGAGAUCCUUCUGCCUUAGCCUCUCAACUACCUGAAAUUUUAUGAAACUUUUACAUGAAUGUAUGAAAAAAAGCACAUUUUUGUAAUUCUUUCUCUUAUGUAUGGAACCAAUAGAUUAAUUUAUUGAACAUGUACUAAAUUUCUGCUAUAUAUAAGAAGUUAGAAGAUAUAAAAGAGAAGCAGAAACUAAUCAUUCCUGUUGAGAAUUUAUAAUCUAAUAGGAGUACUCAAACUUUCACAUAAAUAAAAUACUAUGCAGAAACUUCUAAACCCCUAUGCAUGGGACCUGGAGUGGCCUUGUCCUGAGUGUAAUGUACUAAAAGCUUUAAAUGGAUAAUCAUCCCUGCUACAAUGUGGUACCUAUGUGUGCAGGUAUUUAUCCUUAACUCCAAGUCCCAGAGCUGUACAUGGAAAAUUUCAUUACAUGUGGCACAGAUAUUUAUUUAACAAAUCUCAUUGUGCCUUUACAACCUUAUGAGGAAAAUAGAGUGGUUAAUGUCUAGGUCCUAGAAAGUCUCCUGGAUUUGAAUCCUGGCUCCAUUACUUGCUGUGAAAUGAUCUUGGUGAAGUUACUGGCUGUCUGUGACUCAGUUUCCUGACAUGAAAAGUGUGGUUAAUAAUAGUGCCUAGUAACAGUACCAAACAAUAAUGUCAGUAAUCACGAGGAUGUCAUAAGGUAAUUAAUGUACCACAUUUGGAAUAGUGCCUGACAUGAUAAACACUAAAAUGUCAACUCAUUACUGUCACUACAAUGAUCCCCAUUUUACAAAGAAAUGAAGGCUUGAAGGUGUUCAUUAAGCCAUGUCUGGGUUUUAACUGUAUCACUCUAACAUCACCGGAAAAAGUGAAAAAGCAAAGCAGACCAAGAUUCGUGUCAGAGCAUUUUCUUGUAAGAACCUCAUAUUCAAUCCAUGUCCUGUUGUUCAAAGUUAUUUUGAAAUGGGCCGAGUCUUAAUUGAAGUGGAAGUACCUGAAACCAGAGUUAAUAUCAGGAGCAACAGGGAGUCAGAUUCACGGAGGUAAACUGUUGCUAGUUCUGCAUUUCAAGCCCUUUUGGCUCCUGGGCCAGCUGAACUUCUGGUUGUAGGCUGAGCUGGAUGGAGACAGAUGCAGCUCUAGUGAUUCUGCUGAACUUUGGAUUCCCUGGGCACAUAAGAAAAGGGUUGUGCUACAGGGUCCAGGGGCCCAAGUCAGACAGUACCGGGCAUGACUUCCACCAAUAAUUAUGAAGGCUGCUGAAUACACCAGCUACUGCUCUGGAAGCUAGAGACACAAUGGACAAUAGGAUGAGACUGAGUCUGUCCUUGUGGAGCGUAAAUUAUUUUUUACAGGAUCGAUAUAAAUAACCAAGUAAAAAAAAUACAGAGUUUCAUUAACACCAAUAAACAGAGUGAUGAAAAGAGAGUUGCUAUUAGUCCAUUUGCUGUUAUAAUAACAAGGAACCUGAGCACAGACCCGUCCACCUCCUGACAUGGGCUCCCACAGGACACUGCAGUGAGUUCCACACCUUCGACUGCAUUCUUUAGCUCUUCAGUAUGCAGAAAGGCCUUCUGGACCCUUCCUCACCUGACUCUGCAUAAAGACAAUUUUGAGGACUUCUGGGAAGAUGGUAGAGUGGUGAACAACAAAGAAACAGUCUCUCCAAGACUGGGAGUCCAGACUCUGGAAUACAGCAACGUGAGAAAGAGAAGGAGGGAAGUGGGUCCCCGGGACUCAGCAAGGAUCUGAAGUGAGGAUUGAAGGCCAUGAGGAGAGUGAAAAGAGAGACCUCAGUGCAGAAGAAAGAGGUGGCAAACAGCACUUUUUCCCCGAGCCCUGUCUCACUGUGUGGGAGGGGCAGCUCAAACCUACAGAUGCACAGUGAUUACUGGUGACCUUAGAGGCCACCACAGAAAAAUGUACCAAUGGACGGAGCAGUGGACAGCAGACUACAGUGGCUGGUGAGUUUUUUUUAUGUUUUUAG
ensembl:lncRNA